rfam:Nematostella vectensis strain CH2 x CH6 NEMVEscaffold_161_Cont16368, whole genome shotgun sequence.
GGGGAUGUAGCUCAGUGGUAGAGCGUCCGCUUUGCAUGCGGAAGGCCCGGGGUUCAAUCCCCCGCAUCUCCA